GAAAAAGGGAAAGAAGGGAAGGGUAAAGGGAGAAAAAAUGAGGGAUUGUGAGCCCAAAAUUGAAACCAAUCAACCUGUCUUUUCUCACAAUUACUCCUAUAUUGUAUAUUUUUUUAAGAGUUUAUUUCAGAAACAAAGAUAUGGCAAGCAUUGUCAAGUAUUCAGAUGGUACCAGUUGCAGCCUUUCUCGCAUAGUGAGAGUGAACUCUGGCAGUUCAUAUGCAUGAUUGCUUAGCUUCCUAUGCCAUGUUAAUGGUGCAGGUUGUCCAGGAUCAGCCUUUACCUAUAUCAGACAUUAAACAAAAAAGAACAUUGGCUACAAGAAUGAAUAUGAAAGUAACAGGAUAAUAAACUGACCCAAACUAAGAGACAAAUAGACUUGAAACUUGAAAAGGAAUAAAAAAUUAUCCAUCAAAUUCCUCUCAUGUUGCCACAAUAGAAAUAAGUAAGACAGAAUCCUUUUCCGCUAAAAAGAGGUCAUCUG
rnacentral:lncRNA from 1 species